rnacentral:rRNA from 1 species
CCUACGGGCGGCAGCAGUGAGGAAUAUUGGUCAAUGGACGCAAGUCUGAACCAGCCAUGCCGCGUGCAGGAAGACGGCUCUAUGAGUUGUAAACUGCUUUUGUACGAGGGUAAAUCCCGAUACGUGUAUCGGGUUGAAAGUAUCGUACGAAUAAGGAUCGGCGAACUCCGGUCCAGCAGCCGCGGUAAUACGGAGGAUUCAAGCGUUAUCCGGAUUUAUUGGGGUUAAAGGGUGCGUAGGCGGUUCGAUAAGUUAGAGGUGAAAGCCCGGGGCUCAACACCGGCACUGCCUCUGAUACUGUCGGGCUAGAGUGGAGUUGCGGUAGGCGGAAUGUAUGGUGUAGCGGUGAAAUGCAUAGAGAUCAUACAGAACACCGAUUGCGAAGGCAGCUUACCAAACUACGACUGACGUUGAGGCACGAAAGCGUGGGGAGCAAACAGGAUUAGAUACCCUGGUAGUC